UAUAGACCUGCACCAGCUGCAUCCAAUAAUGAAGGGGAGGAGUCCAGGUCGGUCGUAUCCAAUCGUCUGCACCUUGGGUGAAGGGUAGCCAUCUUGCCUGCAGAUUUCCUGUACAUGGAGAGACAGGACACAAACCAACACAAACACCCCCAAAACGUAACACGCCCCCCCCAAAAAAAGGUGCAAAACUAUCCAGGAUUGCACCAUCCAUUCUAUCACAGUAAAACAUACUACAAACACCAAAACAACACUAGUGUGCACGAGACAACGCAUCUGCAACAAUGUUGUCCGAUCCCUUUUUAUAUUUGAUGCACAAGUUGUAACUCUGCACAAUUAGCGCCCACCUCAUGAGCCGGCGGUUCUGAUUGUACAUCCUGUGGAGAAAAAUUAGCGGAUUGUGGUCAGUAAACACCACCACAGGGACAACACUAGACCCGACGUACACUUCGAAAAAUUGAAGGGCUAAUAACAAAGCCAAUGUCUCCUGCUCGAUGGUGGAGUACCUUGUCUGACAGUCACUGAAUUUUUUUGAAAAGAAACAAACGGGUCUAUCGAUCCCUUCACCGUCCUCCUGUAAGAGGACGGCGCCUGCGCCCACGGCGCUAGCGUCAACCUCCAUUUUAAAAGGUUUGCUAAAAUCAGGGGCUGCAAGCACCGGGGCAGUACACAGGAGUAGCUUCGCGGAAUUGAACGAAUGCUCACAUUCCGGAGACCACUUAAACGGAACCUUGGGUGACAAAAGCGAAGACAGGGGGGCUACCACCGUCGAAAAGUUUUUGCAAAACGUACGGUAAUAACCCACCAUACCUAGGAAACGGCGAAGCUCACGGCGCGUAACAGGGGCAGGGAAACUAGCUAUGGCUUCCACCUUGCUAGCUAACAACCGAACCUGCCCAUGUCCCACCUGUUUUCCAAGGUCUAACUUCGUGACAAACACCGCGGAGCCGAUGCUGUCGAUGCAAUCUUCUAUUCGAGGUAACGGAUAAGAGUCUGGUGCAGUAACACCAUUAACUCGCCGAUAGUCUGUGCACAACCGGGAUGUGCCGUCUGGUUUUGGGACUAGGAUACAAGGUGAACUCCAAGCACUGUUACUGGCUUUGGCCAUGUUGUUUUUUAACAAGUACUCAAUCUCACCUUUCAUCUUCUCCCUCUUAAACGCAUUUACCCGGUACGGGUGUUGACGGAUGGGGGUCGCGUUUCCUACAUCAACAUCGUGUGUCAAAACCGUGGUACAUCCAGACCGUCCUCCGGGUCAUCCUCCAGGUACGCCCCCGCCUGCAGCGCAACAGUGGCCACUGAAGAGACAGCGGGCUGGAUGGGCUUAUUGGAGAGAGUGUUAG
ensembl:lncRNA